rnacentral:rRNA from 1 species
GACGAACGCUGGCGGCGUGCUUAACACAUGCAAGUCGAACGGAAAGGCCCUGCUUUUGUGGGGUGCUCGAGUGGCGAACGGGUGAGUAACACGUGAGUAACCUGCCCUUGACUUUGGGAUAACUUCAGGAAACUGGGGCUAAUACCGGAUAGGAGCUCCUGCUGCAUGGUGGGGGUUGGAAAGUUUCGGCGGUUGGGGAUGGACUCGCGGCUUAUCAGCUUGUUGGUGGGGUAGUGGCUUACCAAGGCUUUGACGGGUAGCCGGCAUGAGAGGGUGACCGGCCACAUUGGGACUGCGAUACGGCCCAGACUCCUACGGGAGGCAGCAGUGGGGAAUAUUGCCCAAUGGGCGGAAGCCUGAUGCAGCAACGCCGCGUGCGGGAUGACGGCCUUCGGGUUGUAAACCGCUUUCGCCUGUGACGAAGCGUGAGUGACGGUAAUGGGUAAAGAAGCACCGGCUAACUACGUG